UACGUAGGUGGCAAGCGUUGUCCGGAUUUACUGGGCGUAAAGAGCGCGCAGGCGGUCGUCCAAGUCGACUGUGAAAGCCCCCGGCUCAACUGGGGAGGGUCAUUCGAUACUGUUCGACUCGAAGGCAGGAGAGGGAAGUGGAAUUCCGGGUGUAGUGGUGAAAUGCGUAGAUAUCCGGAGGAACACCAGUGGCGAAGGCGACUUUCUGGCCUGUUCUUGACGCUGAGGCGCGAAAGCUAGGGGAGCAAACGGG
rnacentral:rRNA from 1 species